CCUACGGGCGGCAGCAGUGAGGAAUAUUGGUCAAUGGGCGGUAGCCUGAACCAGCCAAGUCGCGUGAAGGAUGAAGGUUCUAUGGGUCGUAAACCUCUUUUAUAUAAGAAUAAAGUGCAGUAUGUAUACCGUUUUGUAUGUACUAUAUGAAUAAGGAUCGGCUAACUCCGUGCCAGCAGCCGCGGUAAUACGGAGGAUCCGAGCGUUAUCCGGAUUUAUUGGGUUUAAAGGGUGCGUAGGUGGACUGGUAAGUCAGAUGUGAAAGUUUGCGGCUCAACCAUAAAAUUGCAGUUGAUACUGUCAGGCUUGAGUACGGUAGAGGUAGGCGGAAUUCGUGGUGUAGCGGUGAAAUGCUUAGAUAUCACGAAGAACUCCGAUUGCGAAGGCAGCUCGCUAGGC
rnacentral:rRNA from 1 species